AGGAGCCGCAGUUUUAAGUUACAGUGACUCACAGGAAGGUUUAUGUUGUACAGAAUUCUGUCCUUGGUGAUGGGCUGCCAUUGCCUAUGCCUGGACUGUUCUGCCCGUGGAUCUGCCUGGCGUGGGGUACUUCCAGAUGCCGCCCGUGAUGAUGAUUCCUGGGAAUUUGGCAAUAACAAAAGGGUUGCAAAAACACAGCUCUAGAAAUGAACCACGAGAGUCCAGGGUGGUGUGCUCCAACUGCUGCCACGCACAAGCAGACCAGCUAUGUGACGAACAAACAGAUGUCUUGGAGUGACAGUGGCUGUCCUGCUGUGUCUUCUCGGAGAUCAAGCCAUCCAUGAGAAAAGCCAGCAUGAAAUUCUCCACAGGUGCUUCAUUUCGCCACCUUCACUGCAAAUGUGGAUAGAAUUCACGGCCAGAGUCUGUGGAUAUUUGAAGAGAUGAAUAAUUGUUUUCUUAGCAGAUUGAGCCGGUCUCUGGUGCUGAUAGUGAUUAGCUGGUGGGUCUGUCUCUUCCCCAGGCAACUUGGGAGCUUCCCUACCCCCAGCUGGGAUGUAGUGAUCCCUGAGGAAGAAUACGACUCAGUACCCAAGUAUCUCUCCUCGCUAAAAUUGCAGCUAUUAGGAUUAUUCUUUAGGGCUGAAUUAACAUUUCAGAUAUAUGUAAAUCCAUAAAAGUAAACCAAAGCACACCGAAUUCAAAAAGUUUAAUCAUAAGAUGAAUGGGUGCUUAUUGCAGGAAAUUUGGAAAAUAAAAAUGAUACAAAACCUGACAUUCUUAAGUGAGCAAGAUCACACAGUAUUUUUCUUGCUGGGUGUGGCUUGUUUCACUUAAUGCAACAUCCUCUGGGCUUGUCCAUGUUCUGGGAAAAGGCAGGGUCUUCUUGUGGUUUUGCUUUGCUUUUUAGGACUGUGUAAGAUGUCACUGUGGGUGGGAACCACAUUUUCCUCAUCCAUUUCUCUGCCAGUAUUUUAGUAUCUUUGUUGGUAUAAACAAUAUUGCUAUUUACUUUGGUAUGGGUUAAUAGGCAAGGGAGAUGUUGCUAGGAUACAUGGUGAUACACUUUUCAUUUCUUCUCCAACCUACCCCCUCCCCCCCAUAUUGUCUAUUAUGGCUGCACAAAUCUACUAGCAAUGAGCAAGAGUCCCUUUUUUUUCCCAAUUUCUUUCAAACAUAUGUUUUCCUGUAACCUUAUGAUAAUGGUAACCCCAAGAGCUCUGAGGUGGUAUUCCAUAGUAGAUUUAUCUUGCAUUUCUUUUAAUGAUUAAUGAUAAAUAUUUUUCAUAUAUCUUUGGAAAUUUUCUUUGAAUGAGUAUCUAUUGAAUCGUUUUCCCAUUUUCAAAGUGGAAUCUCUGUUUUUCAUUAUUAAGUUGAAUGUAUUACACACUAGGCUCUUCUUUCCCCUCGAGUAGGCUCCUGUUCUACCGUGCUGACUGUUUUCUUCCCUCUGAAGAACUUCUAGAUCAACAUCCAGUUUAUUUUGGCUGUUGUUUGUGAUAUUAAAAAAUCAUGGGACGUCCCGGAGACUUUCCUCACAUCCUGUUCUGGGGUUUUAUAGUAUAUGCCUUAGGUUCAGGUCUUUCCUUCAUAUGACCUGCAUUGAGUUGGUUUGUAGGUGUGGCAUUCAGUAAGGUUCAGUUUCCAUCUUUUUGCACCAUUAAUUGAAGUGACUGCAUUUCCUUGUGUCUUCUUGGUGUCUGUGUCAAAAAUCAACCGACUGAGCAUGUCUGGGUUCACUUGCUGAACUCUCUGUUGGUCUCACGGAUCUGUGUGUCUAUAUUUAUACAGAGCCGUGAUGUUUCAGUAACUGCAGCUUCAUAAUAUAGUUUCAAAUCAAAGAAUAUGAUACCUUCAAUUUUGGUUUUCUUUCUCAGAACUACUUGUCUAUUUAGAGUCCUUAUGGCUCUAGUUAUAUUUUUUAAUCUUUUCCCUGUUUGUGUAGAGAAAGCUAUUGUGACUUUGACAGAGCUUUCAUUGACUCUGCAUGUGUCCUUGGUCAGGAUGGCGAUGUUAACAAUAUUAGCUUUCUGCUUUACAGCACGGGAUGUUGUGCAAUUUACUUGUGUGGUGAACGUUUUUAUAGAUGUUAGUAUAACAGAUCUUUAACUUCCUUAGCUAAUUUGUUCCUAGGCAUUUUAUUUUUGUAUCAUUAUGGAUGCUAUUCUUCUUAAUUCUAUUUUUUAGUUAGGUUAUUAUUCUAGUACAAAUGGUAUUGAUUUUGUAUUCUGCAACCUAACAGAAUAUUUAUUUAUUAGUUCUAAGAGGUUUGUGUGUUUAUAAAAUCUUUGAUUUUCACAUAUAUGAUUAUGUCACUUGCAAAUAAAUAUGAUUUUCCUUCUUCC
rnacentral:lncRNA from 1 species